GNGUUUGUAGAUUUUAUUAGAGGUAAGGCCUGCUCUAUGAAGGGGUUUAAUGGCCGCAGUAUUUUGACUGUGCAAAGGUAGCGUAAUAAUUAGUCUCUUAAUUAGGGUCCAGAAUGAAUGGCUACAUGGGGGGUGACUUUCUUUUCUUUAGAGGAUUGAAUUUUUUAACAAAGUGAAGAAACUUUGGAGAGCCUAAAAGACAAGAAGACCCUAUCAAGCUUUACUUUUAAGGCUAGGCGUAGAGUUUGAGGAAAGCCUAGGAGGAUAAGUUUCGUUGGGGCAAUGGUUAUGUUAAAAUAUUAUAUUAGGAUUAUUAUUUACAAAUUUUUUGGGCCAUAAAUAUUGGGUAAUAGAAUAAGUUACUGUAGGGAUAACAGCGCAAUUUUUUUGGAGAGUUCAUAUCGAUAAAAUAGUUUGCGACCUCGAUGUUGAAUUAAAGGACCUUAGGGGUGCAGGAGCCUUUAAAGGUAGUCUGUUCGACUAUUAAAUCUUUACA
rnacentral:rRNA from 1 species